CUGUUCGAGCGUCAUUACAACCCCUCAAGCUCAGCUUGGCGUUAGGGCCUGCCGCAGCGGCAGCCCUUAAACCAGUGGCGGCGCAUCUGGCUCUAAGUGUAGUAAUUCUUCUUGCUAUAGAGUCCUGGUGGAUGCUUGCCAUCAACCCCCAAUUUUCUAUAGUUGACCUUGGAUCAGGUAGGGAUACCUGCUGAACUUAA
rnacentral:misc_RNA from 1 species